rnacentral:rRNA from 1 species
UAGGGAAUCUUCGGCAAUGGACGAAAGUCUGACCGAGCAACGCCGCGUGAGUGAAGAAGGUUUUCGGAUCGUAAAACUCUGUUGUUAGAGAAGAACAAGGACGUUAGUAACUGAACGUCCCCUGACGGUAUCUAACCAGAAAGCCACGGCUAACUACGUGCCAGCAGCCGCGGUAAUACGUAGGUGGCAAGCGUUGUCCGGAUUUAUUGGGCGUAAAGCGAGCGCAGGCGGUUUCUUAAGUCUGAUGUGAAAGCCCCCGGCUCAACCGGGGAGGGUCAUUGGAAACUGGAAGACUUGAGUGCAGAAGGGGUGACUUGAAUUCCAUAUGUAGCGGUGAAAUGCGUCGUUAUAUGGAGAAACACCAGUGGCGAAGGCGGCUCUCUGGUCUGUAACUAACGCUGAGGCUCGAAAACGUGGGGGGCAAACAGG